rnacentral:rRNA from 1 species
UCGAUUGAGAACGCAGCGAAACGCGAUAGGUAAUGUGAAUUGCAGAAUUCCGUGAAUCAUCGAAUCUUUGAACGCACCUUGCGCUCCAUGGUAUUCCGUGGAGCAUGCCUGUUUGAGUGCCGCGAAUUCUCCCUCCCCUUACGGUGGCCGAAAGGCCGAAGUAGGGCGGACGGGGUAGGAUGGGUGUUUGCUGCCUGGGGAUUGUACCAGGCUCGCCCGAAAUGCAUAAGCGCCAGGACCCUCGCUACCGCUCUCUAGGGAAGAGUGGCUAAGCGACCGCUGAGCAUGGCAUGAUACGUCAUUUGCUGUGUGUGGGCGGCCGGUUGGAGAGGUGUCUGCUUUACCAGCCCUAUUUUAAUUCUGGUCUCAAAUCAGGUAGGAUCACCCGCUGAACUUAAGCAUAUCA